AGUGCUUACUCAAUGCCUGGCACAUGGAGUAAUGGUUUGAUUUGUGUUUGUCCUGGAUACAAUACUAAAAUGAGAAAAUUAAAAGGACAUCAAGUUCAAGGAGCUCUAAGAUACAGAAAGAUUUGGAGCUAUUUCAAGGUGUUCAGUUCUUGGACUGAAGAUGAAGAGGCACAUAGACCCACAGUUGCUGAUGGUAGACAAGUGCCCAGAAGCAAUGCCUAGCCCAGCACUCUCCACUGUGCUCACACAGACUCACUAGGAGACCUCCUUAAGGGGAUGCCCCUGAUCCAGCAGGUCUGGGUGGGCUGGACACCUUCCACAGGUGGGGAUGCUGCAAUUGCUGGACCAUACUUCAGGAUUUUCUGUAUUCCAGGUUGGCUUCGAACAGACUAUGUAUCUGAGGAUGACCUUGAAUUUUUCCUGAUCUUCCUUCUCUUGCCUUCUGGAUGCUGGGUUUACAGGUAUGGUGUGGCCAGCUACUUCAUGCCCCUUCCUCACAUUACUGCUGCCAUGAUGGACCAUACUCUCAAAAUGUGAGCCCAAACUAGCCUGUUUUUCAUUAAGGUGUAUUUAAAAGGUAUUUUUGUCCAAAGAAAUCAUAAAAGUAAGCAUUGUGCUAAGCUUAGCAAACAGAGUCAUGAAAAUUUGGAAGGUAAAUAGCAUCAAGUCAAGAUGUUCACUGCACAUACCCUCACCUUCUUUCCUUCACAUCUUUCACAGCUUCAGAGACCACUACUGCUCUGAUGUCCUUUAUGGAUCUUGGUGUACAACUGUUGAAUUCUUUCUUUUUCUUUACAUAUAUUAUAGACAUUAAGAUGUUCCACUUACCUCUGUUCCCCAAGUACUAAGCCCAGAGCUUGUAGUAUAUACUAGGUGAUUGCAGUGAAAUAUUAUCUGGCCUCCAAUAUAUAUAUAGCACACCACUAUCCACAGCUUCUCUGUAAUUGCACCAAAUCAUAAUGUUUUCAAUAUUUUUGUGAGUCUUAGAACAGUGAGGUACUUAAAUAAAGACCAGACUUCCCUGUUUUGAUGCUGCACAUAUUAUUGCUUAUGAAUUCUGUACAGUCACUAUUACUUGAUCCCCAGGCCAAUGCAGGCUCACCAUGAAUGAAUAGACAGUUUGGAGAUGCGUCAUACAGUGACAUCAUUAAUGGUAGAAAAGUGUGGAGAAGCAAGAGGUAUUUGGGUUUUUGAUUCCUGUUCUUGAGAAUGUUAUGGUGAUAUUUUUUCCUUUGUUAAAUUGCAUCUUAGGUUUCCGAUGGAACGUGGGUAGGAUUUCCAAGGAGGGUCCAAUAAAUAAGUCAUAUUAAAAAGACAAAAUGUGUAAAUAGAUUAUAAUGUGGAAUGAAAUGUAAAUUGAGUAUAGGCAAACACUUUUAUAUGGCUUUACUAUCCAACCCUAUCAGAGCGCUUCAGAUUCCUACAGUGGCUUCCACAUGCGGUUCUAUUACAUGUUGCCACUCAAGGGCAUUUGAUGUUUUCUCUCUCUGGAAAUUCAUUUGCAUUUAAAUGAUUUGAAAUAAUCAUAAAAGCCAAGUGCUAUGAAGUUUGAAAUUAGUUACUGUCUAUAAAUUGUGAUGCCAUUAAAAGAUGAUUGUGGAGAACUUUGCUGUCUCAGAUGUAGGCAGAUGAAAAUCUAACAAAGUACACCUUGUUACAAACCUGGACAGAAUGAUGGGAUAUGGAGUUAAAUUGAUUUAUUCUUCUACAAGUGCCUAUAAACUCAAUACACUUGGGUUUAUUCUCAAUAACAAACUUUUUCAUCUAAACUAUAUGCGUCCUCUCUAAAUCUAGGGCUGUUUUAUGGAACUGGCUAGAUUUCAUUCUUAUCCAUUAUAGAAAAUGUAAAUUAGGGAACUGAGUUGUAGACACUCUGGGCAGCAUGUUUUCUAUGAGGGUCUUGGAGACCAGUGGACAUGUUUUUGAAGAUAUUAGAUUGGAGUUCUUUCCAACCUACAUACUCCCAGAGCUGGAUGACCUGAAUAACUGUUGUAUCUAUAAAAGGCAUAGGCUCAAAAGUUGGACGUUUUUGGUUCUAAUGAGUCUUCUAGCAAUAACUAAGCUGUGAGAUGCUGGGGGAAUUUGCUUAAUUUCUCUGACUCCAAACUGGAAAUAGCAGUAAUAUGUAUAUUGUACACAUAUAAUGAGAGAAGUAAUGUGGUUAAGUUUUUAGUCCAUUGCUAAUAUCAAAGGAGGACUGCACAGUCAUUGGCUACUAUCUCUUUUCAAGGCAUGUCUGAAAUUAUCCAUCCUUCAUCUGUUUCUCCAUGUCAGUCUUUGAGAUGAUUUUUGUGCAUGGCCUCAAAAUAAUUUCAUUUUUCCUUCUGUCAAAAUAUGGAAUGAAUCUUCUCUCUAGUUGGAUUUCAACUUUUGAAGUUUAAUGAAUAAAACACAGGAAAUGAUGCCCUUCAAGUUUAGGGUGCCACUCUGAAAACAAAUCUUUCAGUUCACACUUAGUUAGGAUUAUUUCUUUUUCCUUAGCUACUGUGAUGUGAAGAAAUUUAAAUCAUCCUUGGGACCAUGUGCUGAGAUACUAAUGGCUACUUGUGCUUGUUCACUAAGUGUGGUGUGCAGUUCUAGGAUCAAGAAGUCUGGGAUGCCGAUGUGCGCUAGGCUGGUUCUUAUGAAGGCUGUGAAGAAAGUGUCUGAUUGACAUUUCUGCUUUUUGCUUAGCUGUCUAUUUUAUCAUGAUUGAUUAGCUCAUUAAGAAUUAUGUCUCUAAAGGUAGUCACUGUCUAUGGUACCGGAGAUAAGACCUUAACCUUUAGAUACUCAGAAGAGUUCUAUCCUGAUGUAGUACUGCCUUAGCAAUUAUGUCAGCAGGUCACCUUGAAAGAUGAUUUUCCAGCCUUCAUUCCAUGUGAGCCCUGUACACAUUUCCAACUCAUAAAUAAAAUAAGAAAACGUUGUCUGUAUUUGUUGUAGAGUGUUGAGCAGAAAUGAAUAACUAAUUUCUCUCAACUGGACUUCUAACAAAUUUUCAUAAUAUAAAAUGACUUUUGUGUCCAACUUACUAUCUUUCAUUGUAUUCCUGGGUGCCUUAGGUAGAAUUUAUGAUCCAGGUCUAACUCCCCCAAAUAAAUUUGAGGUCGUUAUAAUACAUGGAGAGUAAAAAAAAAAACAUUAUGAUCUGUUCCUUAUGUAUUUUAAUACCAAAAAUUAGAUUUUGGAGAUCUGACCACAAACCAAACAGGUCCCCCAAGUCAUUUAAAAGGUAUGACUUGACUCCUGAUGGAAAGAAACAAUGAAUGAGGCUCAGAAGAAGACAGACUAGAGAACUAUGAAAGAGGUAGGAUUAAGAUGAAUAUUUUGGGGCCGGGCGGUGGUGGCGCACGCCUUUAAUCCCAGCACUCGGGAGGCAGAGCCAGGCGGAUCUCUGUGAGUUCGAGGCCAGCCUGGGCUACCAAGUGAGUCCCAGGAAAGGCGCAAAGCUACACAGAGAAACCCUGUCUCGAAAAACAAAAAACAAAACAAAACAAAAAAAAAAGAUGAAUAUUUUGAAAUCAGUGAGUUUUGCUAUCCCAAUGUCUGUUCACACCUGUUCAAAUAACAAUUGUGAAUAAUCUGUUCCCAUGAUGAUGACUUCACACACCUUCAACAGGAAGUUUCUAACCCCAACCUUGCUGACUUUUUGUGUGUUUCUCCCAUGUGUGUACAUAUGGAGAAUGGUCAUGGAUAUUGGUUGGUUUACCCAAUUGCCACCUAUCUUAAAUUUCUUUUUCUCUUUAAUUUUCUAAACUAAUAUAUGGUGAUAUUUUAUUUGUAUUAAAAUGUUAUUUGUAUGUUAAUAAAUAAAGUUGCCUGGGGGUCAGAGCUAUUAGCAAGCCAUAGGAAAGCAGGGCAGUGGUGGCGUACACUUGUAAUCCCAGCACUUGGUAGGCAGAGCUGGGUAAGUCUCUGUGUGUUCAGGGAUACAGCCAUUAUUGGAUACACAUGCCUUUAAUCUCAAUACAAUUCAUGGAAAACCUGGAGGUCUAUACAGACAGGCUGUGACGAGGCAGUCAUGUGGUUGGGUUUACAACCAAUGAGAAGGCAGAACAGAAAUUCUAUAUAAGGACUUUAACACAGAAAGUAGCUCUGGUUUGGAGAGGUAGGACUACCACAGGAGGAAGGGUAAGGUUUUAGCUCUUAGCUCUGACCUCUUGGCUUUCUUCUUUGCAUUGGUUCUGUGUUUCUUAUUUAAUAAGAAGGUUGGUUACAUCUACAAUGACGCCCAACGUGGUGGCAAGUAUUUCCAACUAAAAACUGAGAAGAAAGAUUCUAAAAUGGAGCUAAAAACAGCUUCCUAAUUGUUCCUCUCAAAUGAGCAGCAGCUGCUGGUUUGAGCUACUGGCUGGUUCCUAGUGUGCGCGCUCGACCUGCAGUAUGGCGGGAAUGAGGCCUCUGCAAGUGGCACAUUAAACUACAUGGUGGAUUUAGACUUUGCUAGUACAAAACAAAACAAAACAAAAAAAAGAGGUUUCUGGGCUACACGCUGCUUGGAUAAAAGCAUAGACCCACGAUAGCUCCUAGAGCUGGCGGUAAACCACUGCCAUGUUGAGAAGCUGAGGUGGGGGGAGCCAGCAGCCACAGCUGCUGCAGUUUAAAGCAAUAGAUUCACAAAAAGACAGAUUCAGAUGUAAUAGUUUACAAUGUGUGCAAAAUAUAUGUAGGCUUGGAAGAGAGAGAAAAAGGAAUAUAUACAGUUAUAUAAAGAAAGACAUAGUUUUUAAAAAUAAAGUCUUUAAAGAGACAGUAAAAUUAAUAUAAAAAAUAAGCCACAUAAAGAUGGAUAUUACACAGAGAAUAUGGAUUGUGUUGUCUUUGGAAAUUUUAACUGCAGAAAAACAUUUGAUUGUAAAAGCUGUUGAGUUAUGCCAAAAUGUAUAUUUUAAAGGGAUCUUGACUUCAAAAUUUGGAUAUAAGGAUAUGUUGCUUUGGAAAAGAGUCUCUGCUUUUGUUCCCACAGAAAGCCAAAGGCUAUGGAUUUGUUCCAGAUUAAGAUACACCAGGUUUGACCAGCCAAGACCCCCUGAAAGGUCCUCAAUGACACCAUGGCCCAGAUGAUCCAACAUCCAGAAUGGUUUGAAGGCAACUGGCUCAGACAAUACAGCCUCAUGGACUAUUCCAUAAUCCUAAAAUUUUCUUUGUGUCCCCAUAAGAUACAGUGCCCCCCUCCAGCAGGAAGUAGUAAGAGAAGCUACACCCAAAUUGUCAAAUUAUAUGUAAUUUUACUUUGACAAGGUUAAAACCUUCCUUUUUGAAACAAAAAAAGAAAAGGGGAAGUGCUGUGGGAUGUCAUGUAUGUCAAGUGUGUUGCUGAUUGGUCAAUAAAUAAAUCACUGAUUGGCCAGUGGCUAGGCAGGAAGUAUAGGAGGGACAAGGAGGAGAAUAAAGCUGGGAAGUGGAAGGCUGAGUCAGAGAGACACUGCCAGCCGCCACAAUGACAAACAGCAUGUGAAGAUGCUGGUAAGCCACGAGCCAUGUGGCAAGGUAUAGAUUAAUGGAAAUGGAUUAAUUUAAGCUGUAAGAAGAGUUAGCAAGAAACCUUCCACAGCCAUACAGUUUGUAACCAAUAUAAGUCUCUGUGUUUACUUAGUUGGGUUUAAGCGGCUGUGGGACUGGCAGGUGAGAGAGAUUUGUCCUGACUGUGGGCCAGGCAGGAAAACUCUAGCUACACUAUUAUUUUAUCAAUCCUUUGAGAAUUUCAUACAAUGUAUCAUGAUUGCAUUUAUUUCCAGAUUCACUCAUUUUCCUUGCCACCUAACUUGCUGUUCCCUCACAUUUUCUCUUUCUUUCCUUCCUUCUUUCUUUCUUUCUUUCUUUCUUUCUUUCUUUCUUUCUUUCUUUCUUUCUUUCUUUCUUCCUUCCUUCCUCUCUUCCUUCCUUUCUUCUGUCUUUCCUUCCUUCCUCCCUUUCUUUCUACUUUUCUUAUACAUCAACUUCCUUCCUUCCUUCCUUCUUUCCUUCCUUCCUUCCUUCCUUCCUUCCUUCCUUCCUUCCUUCCUUCCUUUCUUCUCUCUCUCUCUCUCUCUCUCUCUCUCUCUCUCUCUCUCUCUCUCUUCCUUUCUUUCUUUCUUUUUUAUUAUACAUCAAGUCCAAUUUAUGCCACCCAAACACUCUGGGAUGUGAAGCCUACAAUGGGAAGUGGCUGACACCAGGGGUCACAUCUUUAAAGAAAAAUUCCCCUCCCCCUCUUUGCUGCUAUAAAUUCUCAAUGUCUCCUCAGCUAGUGGAGGUGGAGGAGACUUGGUGCCCUCUCCCUCAUGCUCCCUGCUGUGAUUUCUGUCUGGUUUGAACUUAUGCAGGUCUUGUGCCUGCCGUCACAAUCACUGUGAGUUUUUAUGUUCAGCUGCCCUGUUGUGUUCUGUUGUGCUGCUGUCCUUGCAGUCAUCUGCCACCUCUAGCUCUUAGAGUCUUUCAUUUCCAUGUUAGUUUUUGAGAACAGAUAGUUCACUGGACCUGGAGUUUGCUGUUUGGACGAGCAAGCACCAGAAAGCGCUAGAGAUUCUACUUUCUCUGCCUCUCCUACAUAAGUGGUACAGAUUUGGGCCGAGAUGCCUGGCUUUUAUUUGGAUUUUAUGGAUCUGAACUUGGGUCUUUAUGCUUGUGUAGCAAGUAUUUUACCCAAUGAUCCAUUUCUUUAGCCUCUUGCCUUUGGUAACAUUUCCAUUACUGCUGUGGAAUAAUGCUUUUGUACACUGGUUUAAUAAAAUGCUAAUUGGCCAGUAGCCAGGCAGGAAGUAUAGAUGAGAUAAGCAGACAAGGAGAAUUCUGGGAAGAGGAAGGCUCGCUCAGUCAGGAGAUGCCAGCCUGCCAUCCAGGGAGCAGCAUGUAAUGACACACAGGUAAAGCCACAGAAAUGGGCUGAGUUUAAGUGUAAGAGCUAGUUAGUGGUAGGCCUGAGCUAAUGGCCAAGCAGUUUUAAUUAAUAUAAGCCUCUGUAUAUUGGGUCUGAGCGGCUGCGGACUGGGUGGGACACAGGAAAACUUUCAGCUACACAUUACUUUUAUUUCUUAUUCUUCACCAGUAUCUCUUGGGGGUAGAUUAGGUCAAGUUUCUGUCCUCAAACAGCAGUAAAGAUCCAUUUGUCUUGUGUGAGGUAGUUAGCGAAGGAGGUCUAGUAGGAAACCUGUUUAUUCUCUAGAAGGACAGUAUAGAAGCUGAGGAGUUGUAAAAAGUUUAAAGAAUAGGUCCUUAGGCAGAGUGGCUGAAUAGUACAUGGGUGAGUAUUUCUUUCACUGCCACAUUUUAAGUUUCUUUCCAGGUGCUGAGAUGAACAUGGGGAAAUCCAGACAGCUUGGGAUACCAGCCUAGGCUUCAACAGAGGACCUGACACCUUCAAAUACACAGAUAUAGAUUGUUUAUUCCCUGUGGCUUCUGAAUUUUGGCUCACUGCAAGAGAUGUUGCAGUAACUGUGAGACUGUGGAGUGUGCACAGGUUCAGUGCACUCUGUAGAGGAGCACACACUACUCUUACUGAUUGAAAGGAACACCUUCUAAGCUGCAGGAAACUUUUCUGCAAAUACAUGCUUAAAUGAUAAAAUCAUUAUGAAGGAAAAAUAAAAAAAAUUCAGAAACAUUGUGUGCAUGACUACCAAUACCACUGGAGAAAAUAUGUAGUAUUUUGGUUAUGCUGAUGACUUGUGGACAAUCAAUCAGAUCAUGAAAAUAUAAACUUUUUGUUCAAAACUAGAAAGUUGACUAUAUAAUGAAAAAAUAGCUUAAAUUAUGCCUAGAAGAGGCAAGUGCAUACCCACAAGCACAGUAUUUUCAUUGCUUAGUCACCUAAUAUUUUUCAUGUAGGUAUUGCAUCCUUUUAAAAUUGUUGCAUUUGUUCCUGCAUUUGAAUAACAAGGACAUGCUCUAUUUUAAUUUGAUGGUUUGGGGAUACAACAUUCAUUAUGGAAACCACACUCAAAGGAUCUGUAUGCCAACAGAUGGCAUGGGUUUGCUGAAUAUUUACACUCCUGUAUACUUUCCAUAAACUCAGACUUGCCAACUUGCAUGUAAGGAAAUAAAACAGGGGAUAUAAAGAAAUGAAAACAAAUAUUAUGAGCCCCUUCUUUAAAAAUUCAGGAGAAUAUCAUACACUUUUCUGGUAUUAGGAUACGCAUUGCCCAUUUCCAUUCACCAAAGAACAGGUGCCAUGUAAGCACACAGAGAGACAAAGGAUUGGGUUGCAGAUGACCUUGAGGCAUUGCCUUAAGUAGGAAAUAAAACCAAAACUGAAAUGUUGAUUGUUUAUUGAACAGUUAGCCUUUAUAUUAUUAAAUAUUUACUUGUGAUGUUUGUUGAGCUGCAUCAUGAUUGAGUACACCAUCUCAUCAGAGUUAGAAUCAGGGUGCAAUUAUGCCUGGGCUUUAGUGACUCUGCCAUGUGAAUCCUCAUCCUCACAAUCAAGUACUACAAAAUAAAAUUAGAUUGGAACUUCCUGGUAGAGUUUUAGAAAUUAUCAAUGUACCAAAUGUCUAAACUUUAUAGAGAACAUUUUAGAAAUCACAGGAUGGAAUCGAAAGAAAUUGCACAGUAUGGCAAAGCAUGUAUCACAAUCCAACAGCAAAUAUUGUGCUUGCUAAUGAUGGUUACCAUGGACUUUUCUGCAUGCCAGGGUCUAUUCUAUCACUACAUAUAGCAGAGCAUUUAAAAAUUAAAAUACCUCUAAGUAGGUAGCACUGAUUUUCAUAUUUCACAGAUAAUAAAAUUGAGGAAUAAAGAGAUUUUGCAAGUUUUCCCAGAUCACACAUGAUGAAACCUUUGACUUUCUGGCAUGCUGGCUAAAAUUAUUAUUUAUGGUGAUAAAAUAAAACUUUAUGAUAACUUUAUGUAGCACCGUAUCUACAAUUCGAUAUAGUUAAAAAUGUCUGGUAUUGACAACAAAAUUCAGUAUUUUGGAAACUUUUUUAUAUAGUAUGUAAAUAAUUGUAUCAAAGUUCAUGAAAAGAAACAAUGAAUGUACUUACUAUAGUAGUAAGUAAGGAGGUUCAAUAUGUGUUAAGGAAUGUUAUUAUAAAAAGCAGAGAUCGCAACUUCAUACUGCCUGUAUCAAAUACUGUAUAAAGAUAUAUUCAUCUUGGAUAGGGAGAGAGACUGCAUAGAAUGAAAGCAUCAUGGAGGUAUGGUGGGGCAGGAAGCUGGGCAGGGAGGAUAAAGACAGAUAGACAAGACAAAGGAUAAAGAAAUGAAGAACAGCAGAAAAGAUGAAAAGAUUGUAGUACAAUGUGUAUGUUUAACCAAUCACACAAUAAGGCUAUAAGACAAGUUUUACUCAAUAAAUGAUCUCAAAGUUGAAUGAGAUACUAAGUAUUAAUGUCUUUAAUAUAUGAAAUAGUUACAAAUAACUGAAAUGAAAACAACAAAAAUCACGUAACAUAAAAAUCUCCAAACAGUAUGAAUAAAGACACAUAUGAUGAGCAAUAUAUCAAAAUUUGAUAUCAUAUUAACUAUAAUACAUGAGUAAAAUGAGGUAAUUAUUUGACCAUAAUUUUAGCAAAAGUUAAAAACUUAUUUUGUAGCCAGUACUGGUGAAAGCAAGGAAGAAAAAUAUCACAUACCAUCUAUCUAUCUAUCUAUCUAUCUAUCUAUCUAUCUAUCUAUCUAUCUAUCUAUCUGCCUCUGGCUGGUUGGCUGUGUAUCCGUCUGUCUAGCCAUCCAUCAUCUCUCUUUCUUUCUUUCUUUCUUUCUUUCUUUCUAUCUAUCCAUCUAUCUAUCUAUCUAUCUAUACCACAUACAAGUUGAUAACAAUAUAUCACAAUUUAAAUAUACUUACAUUCUAACUCAGCAGCUACACUUCAGGUCUUUAAUACAGUCAAAAAGAUACUGAGAUCACGUCAUGUGUAGAUGCUAUUAUUAAUGUUGGUGUUCCAAAAUGAGCAGAUAUGUGGGAAUAUAAAUUUGCUCACUCGUUAUAGAAAACUGUAUGUAUAUUCCUUAAAAAUUAAAAAUGGAAUGUCCAUAUACACCAACAAUCUCUCUGUGCAUUUCUAAGAGAGUAAAGGGUUUUAUUCUUACACUUAUUACAAGAUUACUGAAAUAGUAAAGAAAUAGAAUCAGACCAAGUGCUCAUUGAGAGAUGAGUGGGUGGUGGGAAUAUAGUACAAAAGUGCAGUGGAAUGUUAUUUGUCCACGCAAAGAAUGAAACCCUGUCAUUUUCAGCAGUACAGCAGAAGAAUUUGGGUCAACUGAAAUAAGCAAGGCAAGUGAUGAUAAAUCCUGCACGGUGUUGUCCAUGUGACUGAGGUAUAAAUCCAAACUGUGAUUACUGGAGGCUGGGGAGAAUAGAUGGAAAAGCUUUGUCAGUGGGGACAAGGAUACAGGUGAGUAGGAAGUAUCCAUUCUGGAGGUCUGUUACAGACUAAGGUAAUAGUAAUCAAUAUCAAUAUAUUCCAAAAUAGCUGGAAGAGAGAUUCUUGUUGCUUACAUAACCAAUAAACAACACAUUUGAACAGUGAGGUUGACAGAUAUUCUUGUUUGGUCAAUAUAUAAAUUAUACUUGUUUUGAAUGAGCAUGGCUUAUCCAUUUUUGAAUCAACUUAUACCUAAAAUACUAUAGAAUGACCACAGGAUGGUGAAAUUAUGGGCAGUUCCAUUUUAUUCUUUUUAUUUGUGAGCCUUUUUAAUAAUAAAUAUAUUAACGUACAUUAAAUACCACAAUGAAAACGUGAUAUCAGGAAAAUUCGAUGUAAUAAUCACCCACUACUUUUGUAUAGCACACUGCAACCUGUAAGUAUAACUAAGCACUAUAUGUAAAUAAAAAUAAAAUAAUAUUUAAAAGAAUAAAAAAUAUCACCAAAGCCCCUCUUUUACUCU